rnacentral:rRNA from 1 species
GGCUCAGAACGAACGCUGGCGGCGUGCUUAACACAUGCAAGUCGAACGAACCUUCGGGUUAGUGGCGGACGGGUGAGUAACGCGUGAGAAUCUGCCCUCAGGAGGGGGAUAACGGUUGGAAACGACCGCUAAUACCCCAUAUGCCGAGAGGUGAAAAGAAAUUCGCCUGAGGAUGAGCUCGCGUCUGAUUAACUAGUUUUUUCUUAAUGGCGCAAGCGAGAAUCGAUCAGUAGCUGGUCUGAGAGGAUGAUCAGCCAC